rnacentral:rRNA from 1 species
UACGUAGGGUGCAAGCGUUAUCCGGAAUUAUUGGGCGUAAAGAGCUCGUAGGCGGUUUGUCGCGUCUGCUGUGAAAACUGGGGGCUCAACCCCCAGCCUGCAGUGGGUACGGGCAGACUAGAGUGCGGUAGGGGAGAUUGGAAUUCCUGGUGUAGCGGUGGAAUGCGCAGAUAUCAGGAGGAACACCCGUGGCGAAGGCGGCUCCCUGGUCCGUCCCUGACGCUGAGACGCGAAAGCGCGGGGAGCGAACGGG